rnacentral:tRNA from 3 species
GCCCCAGUAGCUCAGUGGAUAGAGCACGGCUCUCCUAAAGCCGGUGUCGGAGGUUCGAAUCCUCUCUGGGGCA